rnacentral:rRNA from 1 species
UACAGAGGGCGCGAGCGUUGUCCGGAAUCACUGGGCGUAAAGGGAGCGUAGGCGGCGUGGUAAGUCAGAUGUGAAAUCCCGGGGCUCAACCCCGGAACUGCAUCCGAUACUGCCAUGCUUGAGGGUUGGAGAGGUAGCUGGAAUUAUCGGUGUAGCAGUGAAAUGCGUGGAUAUCGAUAGGAACACUCGUGGCGAAGGCGGUGAUCUGGGCCGACACUGACGCUGUAGAGCGAAAGCGUGGGGAGCGAACAGG